GCCGGAGACCCCCGGGCCGUUACCGCGUCACGUCCCCUUGCUGCUGCUUGAGGACGUCGGUACGGGACAGGGGUACCGCUGCCGGAUAUCCCGGGUUCGUUGCCCGCUCGAAGCAGAAAGCAGCGAGACGGGAACUGGCGUGCGCUUGGUUUCCUCUCUCCACUUGCAAAAUCCAGGGAAAUUGUGUUUUCGUGUUUAGCGGCCGUGAAGAUUGCUUUGAGUGACAUUACUGGAAAUUACCCAUAGCCCUGCUUUAAUUUGUGUUAACAGCAAGCCUGCCCUGCAGUCCAUGUUCCCUUUAAUUCCUGCAGUGCCUCCAUACUGUUUGCAUGACAGAGAGAGCAGCAGCCAAGCGGCGUGAGAAUCCCAUGAAAGUAUUGUUUUCAGAACAAGUGAAUAUUGGCAACUUUUCUUGAGAACAGUGAAAACUCAGCUCCUCGGAUAGGUGAGUUUCCAUUCUGCAGUUUCCUGCACAGGGUUUCCACUUAAUAUCAGCCCUUCACUGUGGAAAGCACUGGUACAGUAUUAUGCACAAUACAAAAAGAAGUAGGCACCCAGCAGAUUUUACCAAAUGCAUCCAGAGAUUUCUAUGUUUAAUUUCAUGGACAUGUUAUGUUGGAAUUUUACAUAGACUUCAGGGUACAGUUAUGACUAAGCAAGAACAGUGGGUAACAAAAAGUCUGCUUAGAGGAGAAAGCAGGGAAUUUGCCGUAGAGCAAGAUGCAUGGGGUGAUGUGUAAGAGGAGGCUUUUUUUAUAGGUUACCUACACAUAGGCAGCUUUGUUGCCCUUCAGAGGUAUCCAUUCAGCUCGGCUGUGGGCAGGCACUUUCCUCACCCUCCUGCACAGAACCAGCAGAUGAGGUGGGCAGCCUGCUCCUUCCCACUUUGGUAAUGAGACUUUGCCAAAAUUAGGGACAUCAGGGAAGUGAGCUGCUAGCUGCUUUCUUCUUUAGUCCUCUUUGCAGAUAGGAAUCUAGACACUGGACUUUCUUCCUUCUGAGUAAUAUAUACAUUUCCUCAUUCUUCUGAGCAGUUUAUACCUUGACUCACUGCUGUCCUACUUCAAAGGUGCAGAAAUCAGAGGGAGAUCUCUAACACCUCACUAGAAUGAAGUUGUUUCUUCUCACCUCAGGAUGGCUAAACAGUAUGUCAUCUCAGCUGAGAUCCUAAUAAAGAUGAGCAAGUUAAUGUUUCGUCUUCAAGAUCUAGUUAAAUUCCAAGCUUCUUGUCUCAAUUUAGUAAGAGAAAACACCAAUGUGGAUUUCAUUUUAAAACAGUUGAAUAGGCCUUUACAGCUUAGUAGCUCUGUGUGUCAUGAAGCAAACUGUUCGUGAGAGAAGUCUCCAAGAAAUUCAGCACGCACGGGUUCAAAAAGAUGGUUGCUUAAAGCCCUCUUUGAAGCUUUCGUACCUGUGAAAUUCAAGCAAGUUUUAAAUAAAAGCUCUAAAAAUGAGGCCUGGCAGCACAGUCUGCAGAGAGCUUGUGGCUGCAGAAGAGCAGACCGACAGCACAACUGCCUGUAAGCAGUGCUCAUGCUGGCCGGCUCUGGCAAGCAAGCCUCCUCCAGCCAUGACCUGGUUGAGAAGGAUGUUGGCAGAAGCAUUGUGCAAGACUCACAUCACACAUCAUACUCAGUGACACUUGCUCUGUGUGGUGGCAGAACCUACUUAUUUGUCUCCCUUUAGUUUCCCACUUAAUUUUUUAUAUCAACAAUUAAUACUGUUCUAUAAUUUUCUCCAAGUCUAUGUUUGCACUGUAUUUAAAGAUAUAAGGAGGUAAGGUUUUUUUGUUUGUUUGUUUGUUUUUUGUUUGUUUGGUUGGUUUGGUUUGUUGUUUUUUUUUUGUUAUGAACAAGGAGUCCUAGCAAUAAAGAAAGCUGUUAUAUCUGAGGGAAACUAACUCCUCAAAAAAUCCUUUUUUUCUGAGGUUAUGCAUGAAAGCCAGACCUGGAGUUGGAUCCUUUUUAUGAAGCCAUGAAUAAAGAGAAAAAGAGAGAACAUUCAGACAAGAGAUCAGUCUAUUGAGAGUGCUGGGGCUAUAUGACUCACUGAAUUGUCUGAGUAGGUAAAAAAAACCAAACACAAAGUAUAAUAAGAGUAGUUGAGAUCAAUACAAAUAAAACCCCAAUUUUGUUCUCGCUGAGAUUAGGGGAAAAAAAAAGUUGGGAAUAUAGAUUAGCUUGGUUUAAAGACCUGUAAGGUAAAAAAAGGUUAUAGCUGGCCAGGUUCACAGACCUGGUGGAAGUGGUGUCCCCUUUCACGCAUGGCUUAGGCUUUCAAGAAUUCUCCACAGUAGUAGGACCUUAGGUUACAUUUCUCUAUGAUUUAGGCAGAAAGUGAAUUAGUAGUUGAGUUUCACAUGCCUAGAGCUCCUGCUCAGGUAAAAAGAGUUGCUUUGGAUUGUGUUUUUCUCAAUUAUUUUGGCUGAGGUGGAUGCUUUUUCCCCGAAGAAUUACAGACUGAAGCAGACUGCAUGAGAAAUAGUCUUUAUUCUUAGUGGUCAGAUUACUCAUUUGAAUGGUGGAAUUACCUCUAAGCCUCCCUGGCACGUUCUGGUUCCAUAUCCAGUGAAAGUUUAAUUAUUUUUGCAAAAUGAAGUGGCACUAAGACAGAUUGAGUGUACAUGGCCAAAGUUGCCUCCAACCUUUAUGGGACAUAGGGAAUAUGUGUUAAACUGAGGAGGAGGACACAGUAAGCCUCUCACAAUCUGAACAAAUUAUCUCAACUCCUCCAGUGAAAGGGAGACAUUAAUCCUUCCUCUAACACUGGAUCUUAGCUGGAUCUUAGCGCAAAAUUGAUACUCAAAUUUCUCUGAAGUUCUGGAAAAUUACUUUGAAACACAUUUGCCAUCUGCCAGGAUAAAACAAUGUCAAACUAAGCCACUCAAAAUGCACAAUCAAUUCUUCAUUAAAAAUAAGGCCACCUCAUUUUCAGGUGUUUUACAUAGCUUAGUAUCCUUGUGUAGUUAUAUUCUAAAUACAUCUACAAGCAAACUUUUUCUUCAUGUCUUAGAAUGAGCCAGUACCUCAAGCUUCUCUUGGGCUGGACUUAAUCGCAACUUCUUGUCUCUGCAGACAGACUAUGCAUUAAAUAAAAAACUGUGAUGCAUAAAAAAAACCAAAUGAUGUUGUUAAUAGCAAGAUGCCUAAGAAUGCAGCCCGAUGACACAUUUGGAGUGUUAGUUCCAAGCAAAUAUUGAUUGCUAUUUGUAAAGAGAUAACACAAAAUGUAAAGGUAUCCUGAGAUCAUAACCACAAUUUACUGCUGUCUAUGGAAUGAGAACUGGUAUGGACCUUUGUGCAGAUACCAACCAUAAUGAUGAAUGUAGGUCACUAUAUUUUUUCUGCAUGUUCUUGACCUUUGAAUUUCUGUUCCUCAACUCAGUAUUUCUUGAAUGUAUGUUUUCAAUAGGUUAUUAGCUUUGGAGUGAACUAUUCAUCUACGUAUGCUUUGUUAUCCAUUAUAAUUCCACAAAAGUUAAUUUACCACAUUAGUAGUUUGGCCUUGCAGGAAGACAUAAAGGAUUAGCAUUCUAUCGUGUUGGACACCUACAGAUACAAAAUUAACUCUAAGGAUUUUGUCUUCUCCAUUGGUUAGGUCUCAUUUUAUUGAAAAGUGCAGACUAGCUGACAAGGUGUUUUUAGCACUACAUUUCAAAGACAGAAGCUUAGCUUUGUCUGAUUUAGAACAGGAAUGCUCUUGAAUGAUAAGGGAAAUUCAUUUUGACUAUCUGACACCAUCUAGAAGAAAGGUUUGAAAGUUAUAUGUGCCAAGAAACUUGGAAAACCUGCACAUAAGAUAAAGGUUUUCCACUAUUAUAGUAUUAAGCACUCAAGCAACUGAAUGAGCAUAAGCCAUAAACUCCAGCCUUGAUUACUCAAGCAUGUAAUAUAGUUUAGUGCUUCAGUGUCUAAGGUGUCACCUUGGUAGGAGUUAUUGAACAUGUGGUCUCAACAAUUGCCCUAUUAAAUGUGAACAGCUAACAUUGCUUCUCAUUAUCCUUCUGCAGCACAGUCAUAACCAAAUAAGGCAGGAGGAGGCUUUAACAGAUUGGUGACUUUUAGUGAAAUAAUUUGACAACACAGCCAAUUAACACAGUUGCCCAUUCCAGAAAUUUGAUUUGUUCUGUCCAUGUCCUUCAGAUUCUUGCAGCUGAGGAUAAUUCUUCCUGAUCCUCAGAAAACUUCAACAAACCAAAAGUGGACUGGAGCUGAAAGCCAAUCUUUUCUUACGUAGCCUAUUUGAAGGAGACCCCUGUAUGAACGGGCAAUCUCAGAGCAUUAAGACAUGGAAAGUACUUUAGUAACUGACUACCUGAAGUGUGCAAGACAAGUUCUCCACAUUUUUAGUGUGGAGGAGCUUAUCGUCUUGUACGCAGAGAACUCCAAAGAAGUAGAUGGCACUAGGAAAAUAAUGAAUGGUAGUAUAACUUACGAGGCAAAUUUAUGUUGCAGUAGAGGAAGCUUUUUGAGAUGCCAUUUUUCCCAAGUCUCAUGGGCUCCCAUAUCAAAUUAACUCAGUUUGCAGGCAUAAAGUCAGAUUAUAAUUGUCAAGAUCCUUUCUCUCCCAUCUCCUCUAUCAUUACCACUGAAAAAAUUACGUCUUUUAUGUUAUUAGCACAUAACAUAACAAUAGACAUUUUUGUGCAACCUUUCACACCUUCAGUCUUGCCAGUGACCUCAUUACACUUCCGUGCCUUACAUCUAUUUCAGUACAGCCAUUCUCUGAUGAGAAUCCAACAGUUAAGUGUGUAAGUCAGCCUGCAGGGUACAAGGUGCCUUGGAAAUAGCUCGAUGUGAAUUUCAGAGUAAAGUCUGAGAUUGUGAGACUGGCAACCAGCAAAAACAUCAACCAUCUGUAAAUCUGAUACAGAAAUCACUGAACAGAAUGAAUAUCAAUAAGGCAGUUGAUGUGCCAACAUUUCUACUUGCUAUACUAAAUAUCUCCACAUUACUUAUACUUCAUUUUUCUCUCAUUUUCCCUGUUGUAUGUUUCUCUACCUCUUGUUGUCAAUUACUAGCUGUUACAACACUACAAUGAUUAUUUCAUAUCUCCUACGCUAGUCACUGGCUCAUUCCCUUCAGAACCUAAGGGAAAUAAUUAUAAAAAAUAAACUAACAAAGACAAAAAAAUGAAGGCAAAAGAGCUAUUUUUGAUUCUGGGAGAGAGAAGAGCGAAAAGUUAAUUGCCAAAAUAGUUUCUGAGAAAUUACACAGCCAAGAACAGUAUUUUUCAUUUUACCUCUACAGCUCAAACAGGAAUCAUAAAUGCCCAUUUGUUGAGCAGGGAAAUAACUUACGGCAUUUACCAGGGCACUCAUUUAUGACCAGAUGCCUAUAGUCAUUAAUUGUUGUAAUUGACAUAGGAAGGACAGCACUUACCAUUGUUCUGCUCUCCUUUCCCCACUCCCAGAUCCUGAAGAAGGUAUUCAUAUAACUUUGAGAACAUUUAGCUCUUUGUUGUCUUGGACUAGAUAAACCACUUUUCCAAGCUAGCAACAACCUCACACAAUCUCUCUGAUGAUCUUAGAUACCAUGGUGACAGUAGAAAUAUCUAGGAUGAAAGACAGAGAAAUUAGAAAGUUAUUUUUUUUGAGAAUCACUGCAAGGAAAGGUCUUACACUUUUCUUCUAAGAUUUGAUGCUGAGUUAAUUAUCUUGAUGUAUAAAAUACAGCUUUUUGCAACAAAGACAGGAUUAUAGUCAGCUAAGUUUUCAGGAGAAUUAUCCUGCGUGGCAAGCAAAGUCAAGGAUUUUACUCGGUUAAUAAAACCCAAAAAUGCAUUCUUUUUCAUUUUUCAGAUAUGGCCAGGCUAAAGAUCCAGUUGAUCAGCAUUCCAGGCUACUGUGAAAUGUUAUAUCCGUUUUUACAGAUGAGUAAGCUGAGAUGCAAGUGUUAGCGUCAGUCAAAAUAAAAGCUCAAAGAAGUUUUAUAGUCUGAUCAGUAGCCAGAAAUGCUUUUGACUUUUUGGAGAAAAAGGCUUAUUUCAGAAGGUGAAGACUGGUCUAUAUGUAGAAAUACUUUAAUAAGGCAUCUUUUUCAGCCACAACGUUUUAUACUGUGCAGGAUGUAAUCACAAUAAUACUCAAAAUUAAUGGUAGGAGAUUAAGGAUGGUCUCUUGGGCAUUAGAAAGACCUGCAUAUUACUAAUAAUUGUUCUUUCUAAUCAUAAUAUAAUGCAAACAAAGUAAAUUGUAUCAUCAUUAUCUUUGUACUUUGGUAUGUGAUUUGGCUAUGAAAAACAAUGAGUAGAUCUGAUAUUAUUAUUACCUGUAUU